AGGCCCAUCUCCUGCAGUCUUCAAGCCCAGUCCAAUCCAAGUGAAUUAAUUGGUCAAGCCCAUUUCAGCAGGCCCAACCCAACUUGGGUCUGGCCCAAAAGCAAGAACAAAUCUCAGUUGGGCUGAGAUUUGUUGGGGCCAAGUCCAAGGCCCGGUCCAAGCCCACCGGUGUUGUCGAAAAUCUGAUUUCGGCUGCCGUCGUGUCGCCGUUGCGGUGAUUCGAUCUCCGCUUUUGUCAAGUGAGUUUUAGUCACUAAAGCUUUCUUAGUUUGCUAAUUAUACUUAAGGUUGGUUAGAUUUAAUUAAAUGCAAUUAGGUGGUUAGAUUAGUUUAGAUCAAUUAAAUUAGAGACUUAAUGAUGCAUGUUAGGUGGUUAGAAAUAGACAUUAGCAAGUAAACAUGCCAUGUUAUUUAUGGAGCGAGUCUCGGUAAUUUUUCGGGCUUGUCUCGGUAUCCAAUUCGGCAUUAUGAGCCUAAAUUGGAUUUUUAUAAUUAUUUAUUUAAUUUUCGAAAUUAAUUAUUUAAUUAUUUAUUUUUCCAGAAAUUCAACCGGGAUGGCCGGUGACCGGAAUUUCGUGCUGAUUGUCGUGGUGCAGUCCGUUUAUUUAUUUGAGCUUUAUUUGGUGCUAAAGUAAUUUAUGAGUGAAUUUAAGAUUUAUUCCUAAAUUGAAUCUGGAGAGGGUCGGGUGGGACCGUAAAGCCAUUAGUUCUUGAGAGGGUCGGGUGGGACCGUAAAGCCACUAGUUCUUGAAAGGGUCCGACUGACACGAAAUCGACUAGGUCGAUUCGAUCGAUGCUUCGAUCGGUGAUGUGAUUGUUUGAAUGCCUAUUGAACUGUACUAAUAUGCAGAUAGAAUCUGAGCCCAAGGUAAGUCAUCCAACUCGUGCCCUGUUUAGGCAGCCUAUAGUGUAUUGGCUUUCUAAUCGAGUCUUAGGGGGUAGGACUCGCUGAGACGUGGUCUCAUUGGUUAUUGAAUAACCAUUUCAGGACCCUGAGGAGAAGCUAAGGAAGAGGAACCUGAAGGGGAGAAAGACUUUUGAAGAAGAAGAUGAUCCAGAGAAGGAUCUUGAAUAUAACCCGGAUGUGGACUGAGAUCCCAUCCCUUUUGUAAACCCUGUCUUAGCAUAGAUAGGUGUGAGACAAGUAUGUUGUGAAUAGUAUUGUAAAUAUACUAUGCGUUGUGCUGUUAAUGAAAGUGUGGUUAUGAAUUUCAAUAUGAAAAAUAUGGCCUACUUUCCUAUCCCAUUGUUUUAUUGUCUGGGGAUUUAUAACUGCUUCCGCAUGUGCUUAAUAAAAAGAAAAGGUCGGCGAUACAUAGUCUUGGGAUAUCGCAUUCUAAAAUCGACCAAGUAGAAGGAUGUGCACGAGUCCGAGGAUCGGGGCGUGACAAUAGCUCACCAGAAGCUGCCGCAAUAUAUAUGUAUAUCAUAAUUGCUCGCCUAAGCGGAUACAUACAUACAUAUAUAUAUAUAUAUAUAUAUAUAUAUAUAUAUAUAUAUAUAAACCAAUGCUUGCCAAAGCUUAUCAUUCAAUAAUAAACCAUAGAACUGGAUAUUCAAUCCAAUAAUAACCAACGGUUCAAACUAGUCAUACAAACCAAUUACGGUGCUAAAAGCCAACACUGGGUAUUUUCAAGUUAAAUACCACAACUUCAUCAAUAUCACUCAAUGCCACACUUUUGGAAUAAUUAACUAUAAUCAUCAAUCACUCAAUUUCUCAAUUUAAACAUACAAUUAACACAAACCGACCGCACUGCUGCGAUCAUCGCGAAAUUCUAACAACCGGCCAUCCCGGCAUAAUUUUCGAAAUUAUUAAAUAACUAAAUUUAAUUCCGAAAAUUAAAUAAUUAAAUAUUAUAUUAUAAUAAUAUAAUUUAAUAAAAUAAUAUUUAAAAAUUCGAAAUAAUGAAUUAAUUAAAAAUAAUUGAUUAGAGCUUAAACAAGAUUAUGCUAAAUUAAACAUACAAUUAGCCUUAAUUAAAAAUCCAUUAAAAUAAUCAUACAACUAAUCUAAAUUACAUUAAAAUAAUCUAAUUUAAUCACAUAAACCUAAUUAGACUAAUCUAAACAUCCUUUAAGCGUCAUUAACUCACUAAGCAAGAAUUAGAGGAUAAACUCACCGGUUUUGCUCGCUGGUGAGUUCACGGCGACCCCGACACCAAGGCGGUCGAUAAACCCCAAAGCGGCGACACCAACGGAGGCCGGGAAGACACUGCAAACGGGCAUCGAAGUCUGGAACUUCUUGUUGUCUACUGCUUCUGAUUUGGGCUGAACUGCAGAGAAGAAACCAGCAACUUCAACGGUGAAAACGGGUCGAUCGGAGCUCCGGCGAGCGGGUGGUUGGCAACCAGCGGCUCCAGGGGGUCAAAGGGAUCUUGCUGGUGGUUGGUAUGGCUGGAGGUAGGGUAGAAAUGGGGAGAAAAUGGCUGAAAAUCGCGAAACAGGCGAAACAGGCGGAACCAGGCGAGUCCAGACGGUCUGACGAGCAGCGACUUCAGGCGGCCGUACGGGACAGCCGGAGAAUCGUUCCGGUGAGCGGUGAGGUGCUCCGGAACGGGCUGGAUGUCGUCUUUGCGGCGAUGGGUGGCUCGUUCGCUAAUUCAACUGGGAAGUUAACUUUUUACUCGGAUCUUUGGCGAAAGGUUGCUGGAGCAGAAAUUGGAACGAGGGGAAAACAAGGGAGGAAAACGGCCGACGAUGGCCUUCCGGGUGUGCGACGAUGGAGGGGCUGGUGAGCUCGGUUCCUCUGAUUUUUGCUGAGCUUCUCUCCUUCAACAACAAUGGAGAAAGCCUUGGAUUAAGGGAGAAGAAGCUGCCGAAGAGUGGGGGGUCUCCUUGGGCUCUCUAAAGCUCAACACUUGCCAUCUUCUCAUUGGCUUUGCCCCCACCAUGACACCACAUGACCUUAGCCACUCUCUCUGCUCCAAUCUUCCUCUACAAGCUUGGCAAUAGGUGCAAAAUGUGGUGUGCCAUGGAAGCUAUGAAUUUUGGACAUUCCCUCAUUCAAUCCAUUCAAUUCUCUCUCAAUUCCAUCCAAUUGAAGCUCAAUUAAAUCAACACAUGUGUCCUCGGCCUUCUCAUGACAUUUCCCUGUCAAAUGAUCCAACUUGCAUCCCGAAGAUUCAAUUAAAAACGGCCCUCUGACAAUCUCGAACAAAUAUGACAUUACUUUACUUUUCUACCAAAAAUCUCGGUUUGUAGAAAAAAUCUUCUGGAGAUGAGUCGACAUUCCUAAAAUGAAUUGUGACUUGACAGAACUUCCAAUUUCUGUAAUCGGGUUCAAUUUUACGGUUAAAUUCAAUCUGGCACGACUUUAGUGCGUCCUAAUCUACCGGGUAGCUUUUAGGAAUUUUCUGUGCAAUUGACAUGUGGUUGAUUAGUUUCAAGCCACAAAAUGCAUCUUCGACACAUUGACGACUCUCGAUUGUUGUAGAAAUCUCGAGGUUUCAAAUACGGACACAGGGUACCAAAACGAUAGAGAAAUCGGUCUAGUGCCGAUCAACAAGAAUUGUGCAAUUAGGUGGAAUCACCCACACUGAAUUACAUGAUUCUGUGAAUCGACCUAUCUCCGGUCUCUAUCGGUUUGUGCCGUAAUGACCCUUGCAGAUUAGUACGGUCGAGCAGGCGUUUACUAGUCGAAUUCUCAAGUCUAUUGCGUUUAGAUUCCUUAACGGCUUCACUGAUAGACUAGUUAUCUCGUGAGUGGCCAACUCAGAGAAGAAAGCUAUAGACGCGAAGAUGAAAUUCCCGACUUAUUUAAUUGAAACCAGAAUUGGAAAAUCGAGAUGUCACACCUCAAGCCCCGCCAUCCUUGCCAUGGCAUGCGCCGACCCGAGACCCAUCUGCUGUGCCGAGCCUCAUCCACAAGGUAUUCCCGGUCAUCUGUCAAGCCAAUUCCGUUGAGCUCGAAUGUGGCAAUAAUUCUUGCAAUAUUAGGUAAUUAUUUUAUCCAAAUUUGAUUUCAGUAUUUUAUUGCCUAAUAUGUGUCUAUUAAUAUCUAGUGUUCAUAUCCAUGCGCGAUAGACAUAACUUUCAAUUAUGAUUUAUUUCCUAAUUCACAACCGCAUAUAAUCUUUGAUUCCACCUAUAAGGCUUUAGACGGAAUUAUUGAUCACGCGGGAAUAAAAUUGAUAUCUUGAUCUUUAAGAUCAAUUUAUCGAUUUUAUUAGCGAAACAAUCAGGUUUGAUUAGAUAUCGUUUCCAAACUCGAACAAUGGAUAAUAUCUUUGAUGACCAUGGAUGAUUUGGUAUUUAUCUUUUAGUUUCUUUAUUUAUUCCAAAAAUACAAAAAAAAAAAAAACUGCAUUUGCAUAUCAUCUAGAUUAGAAUUGAUUUCCUAGAUAGAAUUACAUGAUGGAAUAGUUAGAUUCUUCUUUAAAUGCAUGUUUAGAUGGUAUCUAGGUUAGAUAAUUUCUUUGAAUCAAAUUGCAUGCUGAGAUAAACUUCCAAGUUAAGAUAGGAUUCAGAUUAGUCUAUUUCCUAACUUAAAAUAGAUAAUAUUUCACUUUAAUUAGAUUUUUAUUUUUAGCAAUUUUUAAUUUCGAAUUUUAAUUAAAAAAAAUCAUCAUGCAUAUGUCAUGUAGAAUUAGGGCAUCCUUUGUACUUCAUUGCACGUUAGGAUAAUUUUAAGUUUAGAUUGAUUUAGAUAGAUUGCAUCUUAGGUUAGAGAUUGUUAAGUUAAGAUAAUAUCUUGGUUUAAAUUAGGGUUUAGCCUGACCUAAUCCUUAAUAUAAGUUGGAUAGAAUCUUAAUUUAGCUAGAUAAUUUUCACAUUUUUCUAAUUUCGAAAAUUCAUGGAAAAUACCAAAAAUUAUCUUAGAAUAAAUCAAUUUCAUUCUUUAGAACAGACUGCAUUUUAUUUAUGUCAUGUAGUUUAAGCCAUAUUACCAUGUCAUAUUAUUUCAUGUUAGAUUAGUAUCAUGCAUUGCAUAUUGCAUGAUUUUCAUUAAUCAAGUGAAAACAAAAAAAGAAAUUGCGUGUUAAUUAGAAAUCAUAUUUAGGGUUGUUGAUGUGGAUUCUAAUUUAACAUUGUAGAUGCUUUGGUUGCUUUGAGGUAAGUUUUGCAAUUUAUUCAUUGUUUAUCUGGGUGUUAAAUUGGUGGUUUGUGCACCCGUAUGAUCACCUUACAUGUUAGGGAAAUAGAUUUAAAAUUAAUUUAAGUUGCCUGCAAAAACAUUUUUUGAAAUAAAAGAAUGGUACCGAAAUGGCAUUAGAGAAAUCUAGUAUACCGAAAGGGCAUUAGAGAAAUCUAGUGUAACCAUAUCCCCGUACCCAUAAUCUCUGGUUCGUAGGAAUAAAGUAAAACUCCCAUUACUUUAUUUGGAUUUCUAAUAGACCCACCAAAAGUAGAUUAGUGGCGAAUCUUAAUCGAAAAAUCUUUUGCAUGUUAGAUAUUUGAACUUAAGUCGCGAAUUGAUAUGGGCUUGUGAGGGCCCGAGCUAAGUUAGACUUAGUAGUUCAUUAGCCAAACCCCGAAAAUUUGGUCGCGACAAGUAUGCAGAGGGAACAAAGGGGCAAUAUUAGAUGAAAAACUGCUCUCAUGGAGAAGAGAACAGCCAUUGCAAAAAGGCCAGAAUUCUCCGAGUCAGCUAGGGAUGAGAUUGAGCCAAUGGGGGGGGGGGGGGGGGGUGGUGGAAGCGUCACAUUGCAUUAUCGUCCAGUUUUCGGCAAUCUUUUUUUUUUCCCACUUGAAUUAGCAGUAGCUGACACGUGAAUCAGCAACAAAUCUUCGUUAUGUAUCAGAUCUUUGAUGAAGUUUUUUCAAAAUGUUGGUGUUGAAAUUUGUACCGUGCACCUAAGAGAGAAAUGUUAUGUUUUCAUGUUAUAUGAUUGGGAUCAUAUUACAUAAACUUUUUGACAAUGAGAUGAUAGCCUUAGAAUUAGGACAUCAUAUCUGUAAUAGUUGUAACAUUGCAGAAGGGUUCAGGAGAGAGGGCAGUGAUCCCUCAAGGGUUUUUACCAGUGUAGACUCUCCAACAUAGGGUUCAAAUUUCUGGAGCAUCCAAGCCAAGUUGAGGUGAUCUUGGAUCUCUACCUCAUCAUGCCCCCAGGAGGGACUGGAGCCAUUGGGAUUCCUCUGUUCUGCCUUUUCAUGUUCAUAUACCAUCCUAAACAUGAUCACGAAAAAAGAAGUUUAGGAAUGAAAUCAUCGGUCCCUUUUUUGCUAAUAAUCUCCAUCAUCGGAAGAACCCUGUUUAGUUUGCGGCAUUACUAUGAUAUACGGCAUUACUUUAAUACAAUGCUCAUAAUUUAGGACUAUUUACUGUAUGAUAAUUGAUUGUAUCCAAUUGUUCUGGAAAUCGGCAUUUCCAGGGGAACAUCAUUUCGUGUAGGUUGAUCAAAAGGAGGAGAUUUAUGCCUACCAAUGGACAUGUCGAAUCCGCGCUUUUCGAGCUCACAGUACUCCUGGGUUAAAGCACAGAUCCGCAGCAGAAAUGGACUAAGCAAUCGGCGCAAGGAUUCUCUUGCAGCUGGUAUUGCUGUCUCAUCUUGGUGCGGUAGAAGCAGGAGUAGCAGCAAGCGCACCCGGUCAACAAGGCGAUCACUGUGUAAAUAGCUCCGUGCACAGGGCAUGCUGCAACAAAAACCAAUCCGAGUGAGCAAGUCUAAUAAUGUCGAUCCUUCUUCAAUUCGUGCGAAUGUGAUUGAUUCUUCUUACAAUCUGAUCCCCGUGAUCAGCAAUCUCCGCGAUUUGCCCGAAUGUGAUGUAGGGGCACCAAAAUGACAAGCAACCUGUGAGAUUAACAAGAUAUCAACCUUCAUGAGCCAUAGAUAACACGAAUUUAUCUCUGGAUCCACUUAAACUCAACUAAUACCAAAGUGGUAUAAGAUCAUUCAAUUGCUAAAUUCUGAUAACCCCACGACACUAGGCAAUUGCAAUUGGAUUCUCCAGUCUAUAAACUGUCCGACUUUUGCUCGUAGAUGUCGCCCAGUAGUUGUAUACAUGGCAUAACUGUUCUAUCAAGUGUUAAUCCACCUCUAAACCAAAUGGAUUGCGAAGAAAAUUCCAGAGGACUUGCAAGUUGGAACGUCGUCGAAGCAACUGAAAAGCCCAGAGGACCAAGGCAUGUUGUUAAUGGGUCGAGCUUGAAGACCCGCGGGGGGCAGAGGAUUGUUCGGGGCCCCGAAAUUUGCAUAACUUUGGUUCAUGGGUUGCACUGGAAUGCCAUCCAUGGGUGGCGGCGGUGGCGGAGCAGAGGCACCGGGCUUCUGUGGGUAGCCAUCAGAUGCGUUCGAGGAGUACAUAGCUUCAAUCCACAACUAAAGAUACCGGCUCCAACGAUCAAAGAAGGACGACACGACACAGCGAAAGAUCGAAUGAGGAAGUGAAUCGGGCGAGGGCUAGAGAGGGUUGAAAGAUGAGAUGUUAGGUGAACUGCACAUGAUGUAUACGUCCUAUUUCUAUGCAUCUAACACUCAUAUAUUUGCGUAAAAGAGGGGUUUCGUCAGUGAAUGCUUUCACCAGAAGCGGCCGUGACCAAGCAAGUCGUUGAUCCGCCUUCGAAUCUGUUUGCUGGUCGUGGCAACGACGAAGCGCCAACUUUGACGGUUGAUGGUUAGUUGAAAAGUAAAUGCCUUGUUUAAGCUCUAAGCUAUCGUCGUGCGAUUAAACUACGUAUAGACUUAUAGUUUAGCGCGGUGGGCAACGUUGACAAUGGUGUAAAUUGAGACGAGGUCAGGCAGUUUCGUAUGUAAUUUUGUUUUUUCUAUCGUGAUUUUUUUGGACCAAGUUCAGGUUCUAAAGUUGGACGCGACUUCGCUCUCGUGACGCGACCGUCACACUUUCACACGAAUCGCGACCUCGUUUGUUUCGAGAACACCGAACGUAGUUUCGAGAGGGGUUUGUCACCUAUAAUUAGGUGCAAUGUUGUUAUCAAGACAGCACAGGGCUCAGCAGCUUUUGUUUACGUUCCUUUUGGGAUUCCGGGGUGAAAUUAGGAAGAACUCCAUGGAAGAGACGAGUUAGAGAACUCGGUCCUUUUAUUUUUUGGUUCGAAAGGAGAACUCGGUCUUAGGUGAAGGGAUAAUUGAUUCGUUUUUCCAACCGGCAAGAUUAGAUUUGUUGGAUAGUGUGGACGGGCAUUGAUUGUAUGGGGUUGUGUUUUAGUCCGUGAGAAACAAGUUGGGAUUGUUUGAGAAGAUGCUUGAUCUAGCGAGGGAGUCACGGCCUUUGGGUAGUGGUUGCCGACCCUCGCUUGGUCUCAUUUAAAAAUAAGGAAAAAAUUAUUUAAAAAUUACAAAAAUUGUUCACAUCUAUGUUGGUGAUGUCAUGUAGAAUGCUCACUAUCCAUGUUAGCAAUUUUUUUGCAAAUAUUAGCCGGAUAGACUUUAUUGGCAAAUUAUCAAAAAACUUAGAAUUAAAUUGAUCAAAAUUGAAAGGUUUAAGAUUGAAUUAGUACAUGUGUAAUACGUUUAAGAUUUUUUUUUUUAUAAUAAUUAUUCCAAUUUUCAUCACAUCGGCAAGUGCAAAUAAUGUCAAGUUGGGCUAUCCAUCGAGUUCUGACUUGUGACUUACCUUGCUGCUAAGAUUUAUGAGGUAUUAGAUGGGAUUGUUCUACUUAGGUAAAUGUCCAUUUCAUAGAAGAACAUAUAGGCUUAUUUUUUUUCCUAAUGUGAAUAUCCCUUUGUAAAUGACUAAAUUCUUGCUCACGUCGGAUGAGCUUUAAUGCAUCGACUUAUUAUGACGUGAUUGAGUGAAUUUUUUAUAAAGCCACUUUAUUCACAGGAAAAGAAAGAAAAUAAAAUAGAAUUUGUAUAAAGCCUAAUGUAUUGUGAGGAGAAUUGAGAUAGCUUAUUGCGGACUCUUUUACACAGGGUAAAUGCCCCCUUGCUUCUGACCUUGGGCACGUCCUAAUAUGUUCUCCUCCUUUCUCUUCAUUGAGCAAAAACGCGAUGCCAAAUCGUUCUGAUCGCAACAUCAAUCCAAGUAUGUAUCUAGACCCUCUAUUGUUUGGUGUUGUAAAUUCAUUUACGUGAUUUCAUAAAAUGUAUACCCUUUCCUUCUUUGAGCAGGGCAGACGACAAAACUUAUGUCGACAGAUCGAGCAUGCUACUGUUUACUUUAAAAGUGAAAAUCGCUGGAGUAUGAUGCAUAUAAUAUUUUUUUCAAUGUAAUACACCGUCUUCCCUCAUGCGAAGGGCGAUAAGAUGAUGAUGAAAGCAAUGUGCACAGAUCUGAUAUGCAUUGCCGAAACCAAGCUUAGAAUUAAUUCCUGUCAUGCUAUAUCUAUAUGAUUCGACCACUAAAAGUGGGAAAUUUGUGGAUGGAGUUAAAGAAGACAUUCGAUGCCAACGUUGAAAAUGGUCAACUCAAGGAAAAUGGACAUUGGGUCCAAGCUAUUUUUAUUUCCUAUUUACACGUAAACAAGUAAUAAUGACAAAAAUGAAAAAUGAACUUUGACCCAAUUGCAAUUUGAUCCCCUGAACUUUUAAUUAAUUCAAUGCGGUCCCUAAACUUUGGUCUAAUGUGCAAUGUGGUCCAUAAUCUUUUUAUUUGUUCAAUGCGGUCUUAGGACUUUCAAUACAUAUUCAAUAUAGUCCCUGAACUAUAUACAAAUUGUUGUCCUUCUAUUAAUUUAAGAUCAUGGACAAUGUUGAAUAUUUUCAUAUAAUUUAUGAACUAAAUUGAACAAGACCGGUUCAGAUUGUCGAUCGCAAAGAGCAAGUUCUGCGUACAAAGACUAUUCCCUUAGUCAAAGUGGUUUGGCAAUACCACGGUACAGAAGGAGCAACAUGGGAGACUGAAGAGUCAAUGAGAGAGUUGUACCCCCACCUUUUUGAUCAAGCCUUGUAAGGUCAAUCUAAUGAUAACUCAAUCAGCUUGCUAUUGUCAUGUGUGACAUCCAGGAUUUUCAGUAUUGUUUUCUAUUAAAUUAAUCGGGCAUUUCAUUGACGUGUCUAUAGGGUUGUUCUCAGAGCUGAUCACUCUCGAGAUAACUAGACUAGCUGGGUAUGCCAUUAAAGAAUAUUAAGGCAAUAGACUUGAGAAUUCGACCAGGAAGCGGCUUCUCGACCGCGUUCAUCUUUAGAGGUCAUUACUGCACAGUUAAAGAUCGAAUUGAGAUCAGAGAUAGGUCGGUUCGACUGAGAUGUGUGGCCGAUCGUGGGUGACUCCACUAAAUUGGAAAAUUCUCGUCGACCGGCACUAAUUUGAUUUUCUGUCGUUUUGGUACCCUGUGUUGGUAGUCGAGCCCUCGAGAUUUUCACGACAAUUGAGAGUCGCCAAUGUGUCGAGUGGGUUCAUUGGGGCUCGAAGAAAAUCGACCACGAGUCAAUUGCCCUAAAAAGUUCUGAAAACUACCCGGUAGUCUAGGUCACACUAAAAGCACGUCGGAGUGAAAUUAACCGUCGAUUUGAGUCAGAUUUCAGAAAUCGAAAGUUCAGUGAUGUCACAAGCUAUUUUAGGAGCAUCGACUCAGUCUCAGAAGAUUUUCGGAGAUUCGGGAAAUUUUACGGAAAUUGGGUUCGGACGUCGUGGAAAUUUGGCCGAAGUUCAGAUUGGCUAAAUUAAUGGGAAAUUUGACUUUCGGGUUGAGCCCGUGUGUGUCGGAGAUUUACAGAAAAUUUCUUGGGAUUUUUCUACGUCGAAAUUGGACCUCAAUUUGGGAAUUUAUUGGAGAAAUUGAAGUUCAAAUGGUGAAAUUCGUAUCAUCCCCUCCCCCUAGCCCAAAAUUGACCGAUUGAGAAGUUGGGAGAGUUGUUGAUGUGGCCUAAUGAAGGCCAAGGUUUAAUGCUUGGCCUAGAUUGAUUGUUGAAGAUAUUUCUUGUGGAAAAUUGGCAAGGAUGGCCCACCCUCUCUCUUAUCUUCUUCCUCACGCACGGCUCCUCUUCGUUUUUAACUCUGCGGUCUCAGCUUCUGCUUCAUUUUCUUUCGGUCGAAGUCCAGAUAAGCAAAGCCUCCUCCGCGUGUCUUCCUCAACUCCACUUCUCUGCCAUUCCACUGAAGACACAGCCCACGAUAUCUCUCUCUCCCUUCGCCCGUUUGCCCCCUCUCACGCGGCCAGCUCACCCCUGCUCCACCAUCUCUUGCUCUCUCGGUCAACUUCAGUGAAAUUCCUCUAGCGAAGUCCCCAGGUGUUGAUCGAAACUGCUGCGGUUCAUCCAUCUCCACGCGGCUUCAAAACUCCAGCCUUCGUCAAAGGCUUCAGCAACCGCCACAAGUGUUGCUUCUCUUCAUCCAUGUUCCACCGAAGCCUCUCAACCUCCACCGUUUCGGCCAGCCUCUCCACGCGUCAUCUUCGGUUAACAACAGCAGAUCUUCUCCCAAUUUUGUUGACUCCAUCAACGAAGACCACCCAUCUUCGUGUCUUCUCUCUCUCGCGGCCAGCAAAGCUGAAGCCGCGCGCAUCCAUCACCUGCGGAGCUCAACCGAUUCUUCUCCAUAGGUUCACAAGCCGCUGCCACCUGCCCUUCUUCGGUCAACAUUGCAUCCACCGAAGACCCUGAUCUCACGUCCGCAACUCCAUAUGCGGCCAGCAAAUUCCACCGAAGGAAUCCCAGAACCCCAGCGAAGCAACAGCAUCAUCGAAGCCGUGAGUCCACGGUCUUCAGCCGCAUGAGCAACCGAAAGUCCAUCCCCUGUCCGCGUGAUUUCUCUUCUUCACCCGUAGAACAGUCGGCCCAAGCUUGCAGUCUUUGAGCCCAUCAGUCCAGCAGUUCUUCAGCCAAUUUAAUUCAAGUUGCAGCCCAGUAAUUUGAGGCCCAAUUCAGCAGAAUUUUAUUGAGGCCCAUCUCCUGCAGUCUUCAAGCCCAGUCCAAUCCAAGUGAAUUAAUUGGUCAAGCCCAGUUCAGCAGCCCAUCAACUGAAAUUGGAGGCCCAAUUUCCAGCAAAGAAAUUUGAAGCCCAAGUGAAGUCAGUCCAGAAUUUCAGCAGGCCCAAUUCAACUUGGGUCUGGCCCAAAAGCAAGAACAAAUCUCAGUUGGGCUGAGAUUUGUUGGGCCAAGGUCAAGGCCCGGUCCAAGUCCGCCGGUGUCGUCGAAAGUUCGAUUUCGGUCGCCGUCGCGUCGCCGUUGCGGUGAUUCGGUCUCCGCUUUUGUCAAGUGAGUUUUACUCACUAAUGCUUUAUUAGUUUGCUAAUUAUGCCUUAGGGUUGGUUAGAUUUAAUUACAUGCACUUAGGUGGUUAGAUUAGGUUAGAACAAUUAGUUUAGUGACUUAAUGAUGCAUGUUAGGUGGUUAGACCUAGCUAUUAGCAAGUAGAAAUGUUUGGUUAUUUAUUGAAUGCAUAUCGGGAUUUUUCCCGACCCGUUUCGGGCUCCAAUAAGGCAAUAUGGGCCUAAAUUGGAUUUUUAAUGUUUAUUUAUUUAUUUUCGAAAUUUAUUUAUUUAAUUAAUUAUUUUUCCGGAAAUUCAACCGGGAUGGCCGGUGACCGGAAUUUCGUGCCGAUUGUCGUGGUGCAGACCGUUUAUUUAAUUGAGCUCUACGUUGUGUGGAAUUGAAUUUAUUGUGGAAUUUUAGGAAUUGCCCUAAAUUGUUUGUUAUUGAAUAUUUGAUUGGUUGUUGGCCGAAUAUGGGUAUAUAGCGCCAGUAUGUUGAUGGGCUAUAUAGUAGGGAGAAUGGUGAGACCAAUCAGGUACGAUAUUAUUGGACAUACGUGGUUCGGUGAUGGGAAGUAUCACUGGCGAAAACGGCGCCUUAAAGAACGCACGUAAAUGACUUAUAGACAAACGUGGUUCGGUGGUUAUGGGAAUAUCACUGGUGAAAACGGCGCCUUAAAGAACGCACGAUGUUGUCUAUAGCCGAUGUCACCUUGGCGAAAACGGCGCCCUUGAAAGGACACGUGGUUCGGUGAUCAAGGUUAUCACUGGUGAAAACGGCGCUUUAAAGAACGCACGGUGUCGGUGAUCGGUAUGUCAUUGGCGAAAACGACGCCCGAGAAACACAUGUGAUUUGGUGAAUGAGUACACCACUGGGAAAUCGUGGUAUGAGUGGGAAUGACCUAGAAAGGGUCUGGCUGACAUGUAAUCGACUUAGUCGAUUGACCAGUGCUUGAUCGGAUGUCGUGAAUUGUUUGAAUAUCUGUGUUUAACCUUGAAUUGCAGGUUGGAACUGAGGCUAAGGUAAGUCCUCUGACUCGUGUUGUGCUUAGGCAACCGUAUGGCGUAUUAGUUUAUUAAUCAAGUCUUAGUGGGUAGGACUCGCUGAGACGUGGUCUCAUUGGUUAUUGAAUAACCAUUUCAGGACCCUAAGGAGAAGCUAAGGAAGAGGAACCUGAAGGGGAGAAAGACUUUUGAAGAAGA
rnacentral:lncRNA from 1 species